rnacentral:rRNA from 1 species
UGGCUCAGAACGAACGCUGGCGGCGUGCUUAACACAUGCAAGUCGAACGCGAAAGGGACUUCGGCCCUGAGUAAAGUGGCGCACGGGUGAGUAACGCGUAGAUAACCUGUCUUCAUGUCUGGAAUAAUACGCCGAAAGGGGUACUAAUACCGGAUAUUCUGCUUUUCAUAAGUUAUGCAAGCAAAGGUGGCCUCUGCAUAUGCUACUGCAUGAAGGAGGGGUCUGCGUACCAUUAGCUAGUAGGGUGGGUAAUGGCCUACCGUAGGCGACGAUGGUUAGCGGGUCUGAGAGGAUGAUCCGCCACACUGGCACUGGAACACGGGCCAGACUCCGUACGGGAGGCAGCAGUGAGGAAUAUUGCGCAAUGGGGAAACCCUGACGCAGCGACGCCGCGUGAGUGAGGAAGGCCUUCGGGUCGUAAAGCUCUGUCAAGAGGAAAGAAGUGUACAAUGGCUAAUACCUGUUGUAUUUGACGGUACCUCUAAAGGAAGCACCGGCUAACUCCGUGCCAGCCGCCGC